CUAUCCUAGCAACAUGCUAAUAAUGUUAGAAACAUGCUAGUCACUCGCUAAUCAUGCUAAAAACAUGGUAGCGACAUGCUAGUCACUUGCUAAUCAUGCUAAAAACAUGCUAGUGACAUGCUAGUCACAUGCUAAUCAUGCUAGAAACAUGCUAUGACUAGCAUGUCGCUAGCAUGUUUUUAGCAUGAUUAGCGAAAACAUGCUAGUGACAUGCUAGUCACUUGCUUAUCAUGCUAAAAACAUGCUAGCGACAUGCUAGUCACUUGCUAAUCAUGCUAAAGAAACAUGCUAGCGACAUGCUAGUCACUCGCUAAUCAUGCUAGAAACAUGCUAGCGACAUGCUAGUCACUCGCUAAUCAUGCUAAAAACAUGCUAGCGACAUGCUAGUCACUCGCUAAUCAUGCUAAAAACAUGCUAGUGACAUG
ensembl:lncRNA